CCUGGCUCAGGAUUAAAUACCCUUUGCUCCCUGAGAUUAUACGCUGGACGGGUGAGUAACACGUGGGCAACCUGCCUAUAAGACUGGGAUAACUUCGGGAAACCGGAGCUAAUACCGGAUACGUUCUUUUCUCGCAUGAGAGAAGAUGGAAAGACGGUUUACGCUGUCACUUAUAGAUGGGCCCGCGGCGCAUUAGCUAGUUGGUGAGGUAAUGGCUCACCAAGGCGACGAUGCGUAGCCGACCUGAGAGGGUGAUCGGCCACACUGGGACUGAGACACGGCCCAGACUCCUACGGGAGGCAGCAGUAGGGAAUCUUCCGCAAUGGACGAAAGUCUGACGGAGCAACGCCGCGUGAACGAAGAAGGCCUUCGGGUCGUAAAGUUCUGUUGUUAGGGAAGAACAAGUACCAGAGUAACUGCUGGUACCUUGACGGUACCUAACCAGAAAGCCACGGCUAACUACGUGCCAGCAGCCGCGGUAAUACGUAGGUGGCAAGCGUUGUCCGGAAUUAUUGGGCGUAAAGCGCGCGCAGGUGGUUCCUUAAGUCUGAUGUGAAAGCCCACGGCUCAACCGUGGAGGGUCAUUGGAAACUGGGGAACUUGAGUGCAGAAGAGGAAAGUGGAAUUCCAAGUGUAGCGGUGCAAUGCGUAGAGUUUUGGAGGAUCGUCAUUGUCGAAGUCGUCUUUCCGCUCGGUUACUUACCC
rnacentral:rRNA from 1 species